rnacentral:rRNA from 1 species
UACGUAGGGUGCAAGCGUUGUCCGGAAUUAUUGGGCGUAAAGAGCUCGUAGGCGGUCUGUCACGUCGGCUGUGAAAACUCGGGCUCAACCCCGAGCCUGCAGUCGAUACGGGCAGACUAGAGUCCGGCAGGGGAGACUGGAAUUCCUGGUGUAGCGGUGAAAUGCGCAGACUAUCAGGAGGAACACCGGUGGCGAAGGCGGGUCUCUGGGCCGGUAACUGACGGCUAAGGCGCGAAAGCGUGGGAGCGAACAGG